GAGGAAGUCGAUGACAGUACAGAGUUUG
rnacentral:piRNA from 1 species